rnacentral:rRNA from 1 species
ACAAUGGGGGGAACCCUGAUGCAGCAACGCCGCGUGGACGAUGAAGGCCUUAGGGUUGUAAAGUCCUGUCAGCAGGAAAGAAAUGUGCAUAAGUUAAUACCUUAUGCAUUUGACGGUACCUGCAAAGGAAGCACCGGCUAACUCCGUGCCAGCAGCCGCGGUAAUACGGAGGGUGCAAGCGUUACUCGGAAUCACUGGGCGUAAAGGACGCGUAGGCGGGUUGGAAAGUCAGGUGUGAAAUCCUACAGCUUAACUGUAGAACUGCACUUGAAACUUCUAAUCUAGAGUAUGGGAGGGGGAGAUGGAAUUAGUGGUGUAGGGGUAAAAGCCGUAGAUAUCACUAGGAAUACCUAAAGCGAAGGCGAUCUCCUGGAACAUUACUGACGCUAAGGCGUGAAAGCGUGGGGAGCAAACAGGAUUAGAUACCCCUGUAGUC